CCUACGGGUGGCAGCAGUGGGGGAUAUUGCACAAUGGGGGAAACCCUGAUGCAGCGACGCCGCGUGAGUGAAGAAGUAUUUCGGUAUGUAAAGCUCUAUCAGCAGGGAAGAAAAUGACAGUACCUGACCAAGAAGCCCCGGCUAACUACGUGCCAGCAGCCGUGGCAAUACGGAGGGGGCAAGCGUUAUCCGGAUUUACUGGGUGUAAAGGGAGCGUAGACGGUUUUGUAAGUCUGGAGUGAAAGCCCGGGGCCCAACCCCGGGACUGCUUGGGGAACUGGGUAACUGGAGUACGGGGAGGGUAGGCGGAAUUCGUGGUGUAGCGGUGAAAUGCGUAGAUAUCAGGAAGAA
rnacentral:rRNA from 1 species